GAAUUCGCCCUUAGAGUUUGAUCCUGGCUCAGGACGAACGCUGGCGGCGUGCUUAACACAUGCAAGUCGAACGAUGAUGCUUGGUGCUUGCACUGGGUGGAUUAGUGGCGAACGGGUGAGUAAUACGUGAGUAACCUGCCCCUGUCUUUGGGAUAAGCCUGGGAAACUGGGUCUAAUACUGGAUAUUCUGCUUGAACCGCAUGGUUUUUGUUGGAAAGAUUUUUUGGAUGGGGAUGGGCUCACGGCCUAUCAGCUUGUUGGUGGGGUGAUGGCCUACCAAGGCGUCGAGGGGUAGCCGGCCUGAGAGGGUGACCGGCCACAUUGGGACUGAGAUACGGCCCAGACUCCUACGGGAGGCAGCAGUGGGGAAUAUUGCACAAUGGGCGAAAGCCUGAUGCAGCAAUGCCGCGUGAGGGAAGACGGUUUUCGGAUUGUAAACCUCUGUCUUCGGUGAAGAAACAAAUGACGGUAACCGAGGAGGAAGCCACGGCUAACUACGUGCCAGCAGCCGCGGUAAUACGUAGGUGGCGAGCGUUGUCCGGAUUUACUGGGUGUAAAGGGAGCGCAGGCGGGAAAGCAAGUCGGCUGUGAAAACUAUGGGCUUAACCCAUAGAUUGCAGUUGAAACUGUUUUUCUUGAGUGGAGUAGAGGUAGGCGGAAUUCCGAGUGUAGCGGUGAAAUGCGUAGAUAUUAGGAGGAACACCAGUAGCGAACUCGGCUUUCUGGACUGUAACUGACACUGAGGCACGAAAGCGUGGGGAGCAAACAGGAUUAGAUACCCUGGUAGUCCACGCCGUAAACGAUGAGUACUAGGUGUCGGGGGUUACCCCCCUCGGUGCCGCAGCUAACGCAUUAAGUUAUCCACCUGGGGAGUACGACCGCAAGGUUGAAACUCAAAGGAAUUGACGGGGGCCCGCACAAGCGGAGGAACAUGUGGUUUAAUUCGAUGAUACGCGAGGAACCUUACCCGGGCUCGAACGGUGCAUGAAUAUACGAGAGAUUGUAUAGUCCUUCGGGACACCUGUGCAGGUGGUGCAUGGUUGUCGUCAGCUCGUGUCGUGAGAUGUUGGGUUAAGUCCCAUAACGAGCGCAACCCUUGUCGAUAGUUGCCAGCAUGUAAUGAUGGGGACUCUAUCGAGACUGCCGAUGAUAAAUCGGAGGAAGGUGGGGAGGACGUCAAAUCAUCAUGCCCUUUAUGACCUGGGCUACGAACGUGAUACAAUGGUUGGAACAAAGGGAGGCAAAGCUGUGAAGCCAAGCGAACCCCAUAAAAACAAUCUCAGUUCGGAUUGAAGUCUGCAACUCGACUUCAUGAAGUCGGAAUCGCUAGUAAUCGUAGAUCAGAACGCUACGGUGAAUACGUUCUCGAGGUUUGCACACACCGCCCGUCA
rnacentral:rRNA from 1 species